rnacentral:lncRNA from 1 species
UUUAAAUGCACUUGAAUGUGCAUUGCUUUUAAUUCUUUUAAUGCAAACAGUUUUAAGUACAUUCAGACAGUGUGUUAAACAUAGGGAGUAAAAUGAACAUGAUUCCUUCUCUCCAUAAACAUAUAGUCUAGUCUAGUGGGACAGAGCUAUUAAAUAAGUAAUUACGCACAUAUGCCUUGUAUAAAUAUAAUCGUGGAAAGUGCUAUAAAGACUAGAGAAUGCUCUAAGAGUUCAUCAUAUGGAAGCUCCCUUAUCUUGGAAUAAAGAAAAAUCUCCCCAAAGAGGUGCUAUUUCAGCUGGGACUUGAAGGACCUGUAGGAGUUUAUCAGAUUAUGGAGGGCAGAGUAUGACACCCAGAGGAAGCCGCAUACAAAUUCCAUGGUCCAGGGAGGGCCCAGUGUGGCCCCAACUAGCGGGAUGAACGACGACUGAGAAGGAGAGUGAUGGGCUAGAGCAGAAGGGCUGGUAAUGUGCACCUUGCCCACCACCAUCUCUGGGAUCACAGCAGGCCACUGACGGCAUGUAGGCAGGAGAGAGACAUAAUCAGGUCUGCAUUUUUAAACCCAUUCCUUGGGGGCUAUGUGUAUAAUGGGCUGGUACUAGGCAAGGGCAGAUGGGGUGAGAGCAAUUCAGAACCUGUUGCAGGGGCUCAUCUUUGAGCUGGGGUGGUGGCAUGGCAAUGGAGAGGAGAGGAGAGGGCUUGGGGUUAUUUGAGAGAGAGAGGGAGACACCUUGGCUAGUAGUCAGAUGUACAGGGAGUGUGGAGGGGCAGGCCCUGGGAGGUGCGACAGGAGCUCAGCUGGGACACAGGAGGCUGAGCAUCCUGCGGAUGUGGUGAGACAAGGUCUUAAGCUCAGAAGCAGUCCAGUGCAGGGAAUUUUAUUGCCUGCUUUCUGCAUGCUCUUCUCUCCAACUCUGAAGAUUCCUCCCAGCUCCUAAUGGGGGCUCCCCCUUCCUCCUCUGACCUCCUCACACAGCAGCGUGUCCAGAAUCCCCCUCCAUGAUGCCCCUCUCUCCUAGCUGAUCUCUUCCUCACUGGGAUAACUGCCCUCACAUCUGUCUCCAGUUCUGUCCAAAGGCUCCCGAAUCUCGGUCUUCACCGCACGUUCACCUGUGCUCUAGAUCCACAUCGCAACUUUCGAUCUGCUGCCUCCUCUUCGGUGUCUUGCUGGCACCUUAACAAACCCAAUUCUGAGCUUAUUUUAUUUCCUGAAAAAACAAGAAAAACGAAGAAAAGCGCCCUUCUCCUCUGUUUCCAACCUCCAUUAAUGGCAUUACACUCUACUCAGACGCCCUGCUCCAA